rnacentral:rRNA from 1 species
CGCGUAUGCAAUCUACCCACUGCAGAGGGAUAGCCCGUGGAAACAUGGAUUAAUACCUCAUAAUACAGGGAGCCCACCUGGGCAUAUUGUUAAAGCUCCGGCGGCAGUGGAUGAGCAUGCGUCCCAUUAGCUAGUUGGUAAGAUAACGGCUUACCAAGGCAAUGAUUGGUAGGGGUUCUGAGAGGAUGAUCCCCCACACUGGUACUGAGAUACGGACCAG